UAGGGUUCGAUUCCGGAGAGGGAGCCUGAGAAACGGCUACCACAUCUAUGGAAGGCAGCAGGCGCGUAAAUUACCCAAUCCUGAUUCAGGGAGGUAGUGACAAGAAAUAACAACCUAUGUCCUUCGGGACUGUGGAUUGUAAUGAGUUCAAUUUAAAACACUGAACGAGGAACAAUUGGAGGGCAAGUCUGGUGCCAGCAGCCGCGGUAAUUCCAGCUCCAAUAGCGUAUAUUAAAGUUGUUGCAGUUAAAAAGCUCGUAGUUGAAUUUCUAUAUGCAUAUUGGUUGGAGCAAUUCGUCAAUAUGUAUAUAUCCGACAUUGAACUAUAAUGGUUAUUUAGUUAAUCUUAUAGCGAACUGUCAUUUUACUUUGAAAAAAUUAGAGUGUUUCAGGCAGGCAUUUGCCCGAAUAUCUUAGCAUGGAAUAAUGGAAUAGGACUUUGGUUCAUUUGAUUGGUUAUUGAAUCAGAGUAAUGAUUAAUAGGGACAGUUGGGGGCAUUAGUAUUUAAUUGUCAGAGGUGAAAUUCUUGGAUUUAUUAAAGACUAACUUAUGCGAAAGCAUUUGCCAAGGAUGUUUUCAUUAAUCAAGAACGAAAGUUAGGGGAUCAAAGACGAUCAGAUACCGUCCUAGUCUUAACUAUAAACUAUACCGACUCAGGAUUGGCGAGCGUUAAAACCUCGUCAGCACUGUAUGAGAAAUUAAAGUCUUUGGGUUCUGGGGGGAGUAUGGUCGCAAGGCUGAAACUUAAAGGAAUUGACGGAAGGGCACCACCAGGAGUGGAGCCUGCGGCUUAAUUUGACUCAACACGGGGAAACUUACCAAGGCCAAACAGAGGUGGGAUUGACAGAUUGAGAGCUCUUUCUUGAUUCUUUGGGUGGUGGUGCAUGGCCGUUCUUAGUUGGUGGAGUGAUUUGUCUGGUUAAUUCCGUUAACGAACGAGACCUUAACCUGCUAACUAGUUUAUAUUCUCACAGAGUAUAAUACUUCUUAGAGGGACUAUAUAUGUUAAGUAUAUGGAAGUUUGAGGCAAUAACAGGUCUGUGAUGCCCUUAGAUGCCUUGGGCCGCACGUGCGCUACAAUGACAUGCUCAGCAAGUUCUAUCCUGAUUUGUAAAAAUUUGGGUAAUCUUUAUAGGACAUGUCGUGUUAGGGAUCGAUCUUUGGAAUUAUAGAUCUUGAACGAGGAAUUCCUAGUAAGUGCAAGUCAUCAGCUUGUACUGAUUACGUCCCUGCCCUUUGUACACACCGCCCGUCGCUGCUACCGAUUUCGAGUGGUCCGGUGAACCACAUAGACUUUUUUCGGCAACGAAGAAAGAAAGUGUAGUAAACCUUAUCACUUAGAGGAAGCAGAAGUCGUAACAAGGUUUCCGUAGGUGAA
rnacentral:rRNA from 1 species